CAAAACAGUAAAUAUUCAUGGCAGUUCACGUAAGAGAAUGAAGCAUGUUAUAGCAUAAAACCCCAUCCCGUUACGUAUCAGAGCGACCUAGACGACACAGUGAAGGCAAGGCCACUCACGACGGCAACUGCACACUAAGCACGAUCACCUGCAAGUUACCCAUACGAAGGGCAACAUUUUCAAGCAGAAGGGGUGAGAUUUCAUAAUAAAAUAACAUUAAUCAAUGUAAUUGCGAAUCAUAAAUUAACAUCAUAAUCAUUCCAUUAUUAAC
rnacentral:lncRNA from 1 species